CCCUUAGAUGUCCUGGGCCGCACGCGCGUUACACUGAUGCAUUCAACGAGCUUAUAACCUUGGCCGAGAGGCCUGGGCAAUCUUGUUAACGUGCAUCGUGAUAGGGAUAGAUUAUUGAAAUUAUUAAUCUUGAACGAGGAAUUCCUAGUAAACGCAGAUCAUCAAUCUGCAUUGAUUACGUCCCUGCCCUUUGUACACACCGCCCGUCGCUCCUACCGAUUGAGUGAUCCGGUGAGGCUCUGGGACCUGGACGGAAAGAGCGUUUCGCUUGUUCUGUUUGGGAAACUUGGUCGAACCUUAUCAUUUAGAGGAAGGAGAAGUCGUAACA
rnacentral:rRNA from 1 species